rnacentral:rRNA from 1 species
AGUGAACGCUGGCGGUAGGCCUAACACAUGCAAGUCGAACGGCAGCACAGGAGAGCUUGCUCUCUGGGUGGCGAGUGGCGGACGGGUGAGGAAUACAUCGGAAUCUACUCUGUCGUGGGGGAUAACGUAGGGAAACUUACGCUAAUACCGCAUACGACCUACGGGUGAAAGCAGGGGACCUUCGGGCCUUGCGCGAUUGAAUGAGCCGACGUCGGAUUAGCUAGUUGGCGGGGUAAAGGCCCACCAAGGCGACGAUCCGUAGCUGGUCUGAGAGGAUGAUCAGCCACACUGGAACUGAGACACGGUCCAGACUCCUACGGGAGGCAGCAGUGGUGAAUAUUGGACAAUGGGCGCAAGCCUGAUCCAGCCAUACCGCGUGGGUGAAGAAGGCCUUCGGGUUGUAAAGCCCUUUUGUUGGGAAAGAAAUCCAGCUGGCUAAUACCCGGUUGGGAUGACGGUACCCAAAGAAUAAGCACCGGCUAACUUCGUGCCAGCAGCCGCCGUAA